rnacentral:rRNA from 1 species
ACGCUCGACACCUACGGGAAGCAGCAGUGGGGAAUAUUGCACAAUGGGGGAAACCCGUGAUGCAGCGACGCCGCGUGAGCGAAGAAGUAUUUCGGUAUGUAAAGCUCUAUCAGCAGGGAAGAAAACUGACGGUACCUGACUAAGAAGCACCGGCUAAAUACGUGCCAGCAGCCGCGGUAAUCUGAGCGGGCGUGGCAAGGC